rnacentral:rRNA from 1 species
UACGGGGGGGGUAAGCGUUGUUCGGAAUUACUGGGCGUAAAGGGCUCGUAGGCGGCCAACUAAGUCAGACGUGAAAUCCCUCGGCUUAACCGGGGAACUGCGUCUGAUACUGGAUGGCUUGAAUUCGGGAGAGGGAUGCAGAAUUCCAGGUGUAGCGGUGAAAUGCGUAGAUAUCUGGAGGAAUACCGGUGGCGAAGGCGGCAUCCUGGACCGACAUUGACGCUGAGGAGCGAAAGCUAGGGGAGCAAACGGG